UUUGAUAAGAACUUCAUCAUUUUAGCAGUUUCAGAACAGUAUCUACUUGAGCUGACCAUAACUUCAAGAUUUAUGUGUGAAUGUGAUUCAGAACAAUAACAUCUUAUAAUGGAUCCUUUAAGAAAUAAUUAUAAUAAAUUCAUAAGUUUUUAAUAACACAGUGAUAUUAUACCUUUAACACAAUAGCAAACUGCUGCAGCAGCUGAUAUAUGAACUGAAUAUUUCAAACUUUGAUUGAAUAGGAAUAACAAAAGAAUUUUUAUUUUACCACGAGAAAUGAAAGUAUAACUGUCUCUAUUGCAACACAUUAAUGCUCUGAAUUUUUAUGUAGACAGC